UGAGGAGUGAUAACGAGGCAGCUUGCUGCCGAAGUGAGUGAUACCCUGCUUCCAGGAAAAGCCACUAAGCUUCAGCUAUUGACGACCGUACCGCAAACCGACACUGGUGCGCGAGAUGAGUAUUCUAAGGCGCUUGAGAGAACUCGGGAGAAGGAACUCGGCAAAUUGACACCGUAACUUCGGAAGAAGGUGUGCCCCAAGUCAGUGAAGGACCUCGCGUCUGGAGCUAAAAGGGGUUGCAAAAAAUCGGUGGCUGCGACUGUUUAUUAAAAACACAGCACUCUGCAAACACGAAAGUGGACGUAUAGGGUGUGACGCCUGCCCGGUGCUGGAAGAUUAAAUGAUGGGGUGCAAGCUCUUGAUUGAAGUCCCAGUAAACGGCGGCCGUAACAAUAACGGUCCUAAGUUAGCGAAAUUCCUUGUCGGGUAAGUUCCGACCUGCACGAAUGGCGUAACGAUGGCCACACUGUCUCCUCCCGAGACUCAGCGAAGUUGAAAUGUUUGUGAUGAUGCAAUCUCCCCGCGGAAAGACGGAAAGACCCCAUGAACCUUUACUGUAGCUUUGUAUUGGACUUUGAACAGAUCUGUGUAGGAUAGGUGGGAGGCUUUGAAGUAGGGUCGCUAGAUCUUAUGGAGCCAACGUUGAAAUACCACCCUGGUGUGUUUGAGGUUCUAACCUAGGUCCAUUAUCUGGAUCGGGGACAGUGCAUGGUAGGCAGUUUGACUGGGGCGGUCUCCUCCCAAAGCGUAACGGAGGAGUUCGAAGGUACGCUAGUUACGGUCGGACAUCGUGACGAUAGUGCAAUGGCAUAAGCGUGCUUAACUGCGAGACUGACAAGUCGAGCAGAUGCGAAAGCAGGACAUAGUGAUCCGGUGGUUCUGUAUGGAAGGGCCAUCGCUCAACGGAUAAAAGGUACUCUGGGGAUAACAGGCUGAUACCGCCCAAGAGUUCAUAUCGACGGCGGUGUUUGGCACCUCGAUGUCGGCUCAUCUCAUCCUGGGGCUGUAGCCGGUCCCAAGGGUAUGGCUGUUCGCCAUUUAAAGAGGUACGUGAGCUGGGUUUAAAACGUCGUGAGACAGUUUGGUCCCUAUCUUCCGUGGGCGCUGCAGAUUUGAGGAAGCCUGCUCCUAGUACGAGAGGACCGGAGUGGACACACCUCUGGUGUAUCGGUUGUCACGCCAGUGGCAUUGCCGAGUAGCUAUGUGUGGAAGAGAUAACCGCUGAAAGCAUCUAAGCGGGAAACUCGUUUCAAGAUGAGAUCUGCCGGGGCCUUGAGCCCCCUAAAGAGUCGUUCAAGACCAGGACGUUGAUAGGCAGGGUGUGGAAGCGUAGUAAUGCGUUAAGCUAACCUGUACUAAUUGCUCGUGCGGCUUGACCAA
rnacentral:rRNA from 1 species